rnacentral:misc_RNA from 1 species
GAUGAAGAACGCAGCGAAAUGCGAUAAGUAAUGUGAAUUGCAGGAUUCAGUGAAUCAUCGAAUCUUUGAACGCACAUUGCGCCCGUCAGUAUUCUGGCGGGCAUGCCUGUUCGAGCGUCAUUACGCCCCUCAAGUCCCCUGUGGACUUGGUGUUGGGGAUCGGCGAGGCUGGUUUUCCAGCACAGCCGUCCCUUAAAUUAAUUGGCGGUCUCGCCGUGGCCCUCCUCUGCGCAGUAGUAAAACACUCGCAACAGGAGCCCGGCGCGGUCCACUGCCGUAAAACCCCCCAACUUUUUAUAGUUGACCUCGAAUCAGGUAGGACUACCCGCUGAACUUAAGCAUAUCAAUAAGCGGAGGA